AGAUCGCCAAUGUGAAAAUGCUCGGAGCAGCCACCUGGCAGCCCCGGGGAUGGAUCUAGCCAGGACAGGAGAUGUUUUGAUAGUCCACAGGGACUUAAAAAAAGAAGCUUCUCCCAGGACUGCAAUCUGUGGUUUGAUAAGGUUGCUUCUUGCCGCUAUGGAAACCCAACCGCCAAGUUCUGCACUCCCUGUACAUAUGGAAGAGGUAUGAUCAUCCCUGAAGCACUUUCCUCACCUCCAUCCUGUGGCUCUGCAACUGGAGGACUGGCCAAUCAGAGCAUCCCGUUCUCCUCGCUGCAGGGACCCGUGUGAGCAUGGGCCUGCAAGUCAAACCAGGUCAGUGAGGCCAAUGGCACUGGCUCCCAGAAGCAAUACUAAAACUGCAAAGAGUUCUCUUUGCUGCAGUUGUGAAGUCAACCUUGCCAGGAGCCACCCUAUGGAGAAAGUCAGCCCUGAUGUGAAAUCAGCCAAGGGGUCGAUGGUAGGGAAGCCUGGGCCACAGAAGUGAGGCCCACCGCUCUCUGCCACAGAUGGGGUGUUCACAGGGUGCUGAUGGCUUGGCACCUGCUUCCGGGGACAAUGGCAUAGCUGGGCUCUGCUUGGAAGGACCAGCCUGCGUCCUGUCUAGCGUGCACUAUAUGAAGCUGACACCAUGCUUGCUGAAAGAAAAAAGCUGGGAACGCAGUGGCUUCUUAGCGGGCGAUAGUUAUUAUUACCAGGACGUGACACAGCCCUUAUCUCCAGUGGAGUCCCCUAACUCUCAGGGCAAAGUCACAGAUUUUCAGAAGGACCCUCAAAAGCCCUUUAGGAAGCUGCCACACUGGAAGGCGUUUCUCCCAGGUCCAGUACAUCAGAUUCUCCUCGAUUCUGGACAGAUCUCUGCUUCCUCAGCAUUUACCUGUGAGCACUUGUGGGGAGUCCAUCUGUUUAAAUGCCAGAGUGACAGAGAUCAGAUCACCAAGGCAUGUGGCAGCUGAGACCCCCGAGAGGACAGACUUCUGCUGCCCAUUUCAGCCUCACUGAGUGGACAGACAGACAACACUGCUUGCAGUGUCAUACUGAUAUUCUGCGCUCCCCCACACCACUUUUUUUUUUCCUUUUUGACCUUUAUUGUCAAAUUCACUAAGGCACAUAGGCACAAUUACACUACAAUAUUACAGUCUGUUUGCAGCUAAGUUAUCACCAUCAAAUCACAUACUACGUGGAUCAGCACCCAAAUGUGAACUGCCAGGUCCAUCUAGCUGGAAAAUACUUUGACAUUUGGAUUAUCUUUUCCCCAACACAUGACUAAAGCUGAAGAGGGCAUAUUUGGAAAGCAAAUUUUGUGGUAAUUCUAAGAUAGCUCUUGAAAAAGCAUAUGAGGACACCUCAAACAAUUAAAAAGAGAACUAUCAUAUGAUCC
ensembl:lncRNA